CGGGGCUCGGGUUGCUGUCUCGAGCGUCUCUACAGUCACCUAACACUCAUCCAUCCUCGUUGGUGCGGGAAAAGCCAGAACUGCUACCGUGAGCAGAGGGUUCAGGCUGAAGUUAAACUGAACCAUGAACCACAGCUCAGGCUGAAUAACAGAAUUAGCAAGAUGUAAUGAGAGAGACAGUGUGAAUAACCAUCAAAGAGCAUCGAUUGUGCCUGUUGCUACGGAUGGGCGUAAUUAUGAACCUGUCUGUACUCACUGCUCAGCGACGUGCUCCGACCAAACUCGACCCUGUGACAGGACUGCGGCUGCGACCUGCGGAUGGAGAUCACCUGACCACGCUGGUGUCCCAGUUUGAGGCCCUAGCUCCCUGCUCCCUGCCUAUACUCCUUUCCCAAAGCUACAGUGACUGUCCUGUACAGUAUGUUUGCUUGUUCUACUUCCCCAGCUUGUUAGCCGCAAACCCUAAUCCAUCCUGCCAUGCUUUAGGUCAAUGGUCACCAGCCCCUCUCCUGCUGAUCAACCACCCUACAGAGCUUAGGUGCCGGCCUAAUUUAGCAGACCUGAUACAGAUAAGUACUGGAGCCAGCGACUUUGAAGCUAAUCGUUGGCUCUAAGACUGAGAUGCUACUGAAGGUCCUGAUUAUCGGUGUCAGGUGUACCUUGUAAAUUAGGGCUGUACCUUAGCUCUGCAGGGUGGUAGAUCUGCAGGAGCAGGGUUGGUGACCAUUGCUUUAGGUAAACGUAAUAAGGAAUAUUCUCUGUCACAAAGGUGGGGGUUUGGAGCGGGGAAGCGGGCACGGGAAGUCUGAGAAGUCAGGUGAACAUGGGGUUUACUCAGGAGCAGCACACUUUGGAGCACAGAAUGAUGUCACAGACAUUAAUGACCGGACUCAGGAAAACACACAGACACGGACUUAAAUGCGUAACCACAAUUUACAAUUUAAUACGAACGGCUGAAGACAUAGGGAUUCCACACGAGGCACACGAGGGGGGUGUGGCACACAAGAGGAUCAGAACGAUCAGGACGUGACACUCUCAGUGUGGGGUGUUACAGGCAAACCCCCAUCCUUUCCAUUUGGCCUGUGAAUUCUCCGCUGCAUCGUGGUUUAUAGGUUAUAUGUUAUUUAGCACCAUAUUAGUGCACAUUGAAUGAUCUCAUAGCUUAAGUCAGGCAUGAGUAACAAACUGGACUGGUUAGCUAGUGAGCUAAUCUACUAACAUUCCUGUUUUUAGGCUAUUUUCCAUGUUUAUCCGUAUUUGAAAUGUGCACUUGAAAUAUGUUUCAAAUACGGUACUGUGCAGAAGUCUUGGUCAGUCAAAGAAAGUGGUCUUUAAAUGAUCUUUGCGUUGGUGUAAAAAUAUGAUAUUAAGCCUGUCAAAGUGUGUCAGCUUAGCAUUUCAGAACCUCUCCUAAAAUCAGCCCAGUAUUUACAGUAACGGUCCAAUCCACUCAUGUAUUUUUUGACUUAUCCACUAGCACACCUCACAUGGCCAAUCAGUCUCAUUGAGUUAUUUAACUAAUUAUGUUAAUUAAUAUAUUGAACUGGUGGAAAAAUUUAACCAAUAUAUGGAAUGA